ensembl:lncRNA
AUUGUUGUCUGUGGAGCUGAUUCUGACUCUUGCUGGGUCUGGUUCCGGCCAGUCAGGGGCUUGCUUCUUGCUUGCCCCAUAGUAGGUGCUCAGUAAAUUCCUGCAGCGUGAAUGAACAGCAAGUACUGAUAACAGCCGGGGCGCCGGGCUGGGGUCCACACUCCCUGCAGGGGAGAGAGCCAGCAGGGCGGGUCGGGGUGCCUCCCAGCCCCAGUGGCUUGCUUUUUCUCUGUUCCAGUUCCAGGAGAAUGUCUCUGGAAAGGAAGCCCAAAGCCCGGUUUGGCUGGGAAGAGGCGGGCAGGGAGGGGAGCAGGGGCCGGGCGGGCCUGGGGAGGAAGUCUGCAGCCCUAGGCUGCCGAGGGCGCGGCGUCUGUGUUCGCACCUUUGGAAUGUGGCUGAUUCACUCUGGGGGGAGGCAGGCAGCCACUGCUGCCGCCGGCUGCCGCCACCGACUCGGAUCCGACAUCUGGAGGCUGGAUUCCAGGAGGAGAGAUGGAGUCUUGCAGGCAGAUGUCAGCUUUGAAGGUCAAAGUGAGCAAGGGAGCCAAGGAGGAAGAGGCUGCCAGGGUCCCACGCUUCCCCACCCAGGAUUCUGGGAGAGAGAGUUGUGCAUCCGUCUCCAGCAUCUAAUUCCAGAACAUUUUUAUCAUCCCCCCAAAGGAAGCCCAGCAGAUUCAUCAACUGUGAGGAAGCUGAGGCUCAGAGAGGUGAGCCAAGGUCACGUCACGGCUGGAAGCCAUGGAGCCAGGACCCUCCUGCCUCCUGGUCAACAGACCCCGGUGUUUCUGCCUGUAUUUAGCAGAGCUUUGCCCACUGUUACUGCACAGUAGAUGUUGCUGACUCUUCAAACAAGGACCAUGCACACCUGAAGUCCCAGAAGUCCUCUGUGAUCUGUCAAGCUUCUGCAUUACUGGCAUCACAGCCUGCCGCUGUGGUCACUGCACCAGACAGACGUUAACCCCCAGUGUGCUGGUGGGAGCAGUGCGGCUGCACGUGGGCGCGUGGUCCGGAGAGGCCGAGGGAGGAGACCGCCACCGGGAAACCUUCCUUCACUCCAGCCAGCUUCCCCUCCAGGGAGCUUGCUCGCCCUCUUUCUCCCUGUCCGCCCAGACUUGAAGCCAAAGCCCUCCCUGACCCUUUGAGUUGCUCCUUCCCUUGGCUGUCUGGCCCUGACUCUCAUCCACAGCACGUGGGUUCUUUAUCACCGUGAACCUGGCCUUGUUUCAGCAGAUGGGGUUCUCGCCCUACACAUCCUUCAGCUGCCCUCUUGCACCUGGCCUUACCUGGGCAGGGCUGGACCCCUGGGACCAGAUGGAGGGACCACAGGAUAAGGGCUUGAGGAUGGUGUACAGGAGCCGACAGCCCACGACGACGGGACCUCAGUCCUACAGCCGCAGGAACUGAAUCCUGCUGACAACCAGUGAGUUUGGAAAACCAUCCAAGGCCCUGAUGAGAUUGCAGCCCUGCCAAUGCCUCAGUUUCACUCGGCAGGACUUUGAGCUGAGAGCCCAGCCAUGCCACGUCUGGCAAUGAUAAAUGGUACUGUUCGUGUCCGACUCUGCAACCCUGUAGACAGCAGCCCACCAGGCUCCUCCGUCCCUGGGAUUCUCCAGGCGAGAACACUGGAGUGGGUUGCCAUUUCCUUCUCCAGUGCAUGAAAGCGAAAAGUGAAAGUGAAGUUGCUCAGUCAUGUCAGACUCUUCGUGGCCCCAUGGACUGCAGCCUACCAGGCUCCUCCAUCCAUGGGAUUUUCCAGGCAAGAGUACUGGAGUGGGGUACCAUCGCCUUCUCCAUUUCAAGCCAAUACAUUGAUGGAAAUCUUAUGUGGCAACAGGGAAUAAGUCCAUCAUCGUUCCAAAGAGGAGAACAGUAUUCUAGAUGCAAAUGUAGGAUAAAAGUUUAAAACUGAGAAAAACCCGUCCCCUGCUCCUCGGGCGCUCUGUAAAGUGGAAACCUGCCACAGCCUCUGUGCUGAUGGUCCCCCCUCCUGCCCUCCUGGCUGCAGUUUAAAUCCAUGGUCUUAGGGCUCACGUCUCUCGCCUGAGCUUACAACCAGCCUCAGAGGAGGGCAAGUGUGUUCUGGAAAGGGUAGCACUGAUGGCACCUUGAGGGCAGUCACAUCCCACUGUGGCUGAAGAAAGAUGCUCUGGAACCCUUUGCUUUAGGAGAUCCCUGAGGUUUCUGGGGCUCCUGGGACUUCUGGAAAUCUUCAGGGUCAACAAAGCUAUUUUUUUAAAGAAAUACAGCUGUUUAAUUUAAUAGCUUUAUUAUAUAUAAUUCACCCAUCUAAAGUGUAAAAUUAAGUGGGUUUUUUUGAAUACAACCAGUUUUGUAACCAUCACCACAAUCGAUUGAGAAGAUUUUAUCACUCCCCCCAAAGAAACUCUGUACCCUAGCACCCACCCUCCAUUUCCCCCUGACUCCCCCUCAUUCCCUUCAGUUCAGUUCAGUUCAGUUCAGUCGCUCAGUCGUGUCUGACUCUUUUCGACCCCAUGGACUGCAGCACGCCAGGCCUCCCUGUCCAUCACCAACUCCCAGAGUUUACUCAAAUUCAUGUUUGAGUCGGCGAUGACAUCCAACCAUCUCAUCCUCUGUCAUACCCUUCUCCUCCUGCCUUCAAUCUUUCCCAGCAUCAGGGUCUUUUCAAAUGAGUCAGUUCUUCACAUCAGGUGGCCAAAGUUUUGGAGUUUCAGCUUCAACAUCAGUCUUUCCUAUGGAUAUUCAGGACUGAUUUCCUUUAGGAUGGACUGGUUGGAUCUCCUUGCAGUCCAAGGGACUCUCAAGAGUCUUCCCCAACACCACAGUUCAAAAGCAUCAAUUCUUUGGCACUCAGCUUUCUUUAUAGUCCAACUCUCACAUCCAUACAUGACCACUGGAAAAACCAUAGCCUUGACUAUAUAGACCUUUGUUGGCAAAGUAAUGUCUCUGCCUCAUUCCCUGGCAACCACUAAUCCACUUUCUACCUCUGUGGAUUUGCCUAUUCCAGACACUUCAUAGAAAUGAAAUCCUACGAUAUGCAGCCUUUUAUGUCUGGCUUCUCUCACUGGUCGUCACGUUGUCAAAGUUCAUCCACCUUGUGCCAUGUAUCAGUACUUCAUCCCUUUACAUGCUGAGCAACUCUUCACUGGGUGAAUAGACCAUGGCUUCUGUAUCCAGUCAUCAAAAGAGCCUGUUGCUCAUCACUCUUCCUACCUGGAAUCUGGGAGUGGGGCUGGGGGAUAGGCAGCAAAGGGGAAUGGGGGGAAGUGGGCUGAUUGGGCUUGGGUUUGACAACAUAGAGGAAGGAGGGCAGGGGUUCUGCGGUGUCCUAGCCACACUGUGGCCCCUGGUUCUUUCCCCUAGGCUGAGUCAGUCCGGUCCCCUCUCCUGUUCUCCAAAGCAUUGUCUGCCCCAGGGUCUCCAGCCCCAGAGUCCUGCUGCAGGUGGGCCGGCUGUCUGUCAGCUCUGUAAUCUGCAUUUCUGAUCUUCUGCAUUUCUAACACCAAUUGUCCACUGGCAGUUAUUUGAUGACAGUCUUCACAGAGACUUCCCUUUUAAAGGGCAAACUGUCUGCAGGCCAGUUUUCACAUCAGAUCCUACCUGUGAGUGUCUUUACUAUAAAGCGGGUGAGCACCAUGAUCAACAGAAAAGAAACUUGCAACAUGCUUGCUUCCUUUCACUGUGACAAGUUUUUUUUUUUUUUUUGGCUGUGCCACAAAGCAUAUGGGGUCUUAGUUCCCCAAUCAGGGAUUGAGUCCGUACCCCCUGCAUUGAAAGUGCAGAGUUUUAACCACUGAACUGCCAGGGAAGUCUCAUUACCAUGACAAGUUUGAGCAGGGGAAGGGGAAAGCUGGGCCCCUCCUCUGUCCCUCCCCUGUUCUCCCUGGCCAGCUACCUCUGGCCACUGUCACCCAUGGCAACCCAGUGAUACCAGGAAAUACCGCUUAUUAAUGCUAUGACAAGCCAGGUGUGCCAGUGACUUCUUGUGACAGUCAGCCUGCAAGCUAGGUACUAUAGGGCUUCUGUUUUACAGACCAGGAAGCUGAUUCAGGUUAAGGAACUUGACUGCGGUCACCCUGAUAACACCAGGAGCUGGGGUUGGGGCAGAACCUCCUGGAUUCUGAGUCACACUGCAUGGCCUCAAGUGCUUUCUGGAAACCCUGUGGUCCAAAGAGUGAGGAGUGUGUGUAGACAGAGAUGAGGUCUGAAGACUAUGGCCCCGGGAUAUCUCAGAUGCUAAGCAGAAAAGAGCUUCAAGAAGGUCAUUUAGGGACUUCCCUGGUGGUUCAAUAGUUAGGAUUCCUUGCUUCCAUUGCAGGGGGCCCGGGUUCAAUCCCUGAACAGGAACUGAAAAAAAAAAAAAAAGUCAGAUACAGUGAAGACAGGAAACAGAGCUCCUUGGAGUCACCAGUGAGAGCAGUUUUCAUGGAGUCCUGGCUUCGGAUGGAGUGAGCAGGAUGAGAAAGUGGGCAUAGACAGCCACUUUAGGGAGCUUUGCAGUCAAGAGUGUAGCUGGAAGGGGAUGUAUGAUUGUCUCAUUUUUUUUUUUCCUUUUUGGCCAAGUUAUGGGGCUGAUGGGAUCUUAGUUCCCUGAUCAGGGAUUGAACCCAGCCCCAUGGCAGUGAAAGCAUGGAGUCUUAACCACUGGACCACCAGGGACUCCACCGUUUUUAAAUGGGAAUAAAAAUGGUUUGUUCUCCACAUGGGAAUGAGCCAGUAGCAGGCAGGAGGGAAGGAUGCAGGAGUGGGGGACAGUUGCUGGAGAGAAUACACGUUGGAGGGGUUCUCCAGGCACCAACAGAACAUGGACCCACAUCUAGGUGCUGGCUGGUUAGCAGAUUUCAGGUACCAGGGGGGAGGCAGAGAAGCCUUGGGAAGGGAGGGAGGAGGGACCAGGGCCAUACGAGGGGAUGGCCAGCUAUGCAAAGGAGCCACUUGAGCAUCUUGGUCCAGCAUUUAAAAGUAAGAUGGUGAGAUUUCCUUUUCCCAGCGCUGUUCAGAUCCAGGGGUGGGGGCAGGGGCAGGACAGGUGGAGUCCAGGGCUGGAGUCCAGGUGGAGUCCAGGUGGAGUCCAGGGCUGGACUCAGAAGCGAGCAUGCAUGCAAGAUGAUUAGAUUGCUGGGCUGUGAAACCUAAACUGGAGAAGGAGCAAAGGGAGAAGACAAGGGGCUUGCGGUAGCCCCCUCCCCUCACCUAUGGAGUCAAGCAAACUAUAGCCCACUAGUCAAAUCCAGACCACUGACCUUUUUAAUUUUUUUUGGUUAACUUUUUAAAAAACUGUGGUAAAAUGCAUAUAACAUAAAAUUUACCAUUUUUAAAUUUUUGUGUGUUCACCUGAAUGGUAACUUUGCUGUUUUAAAGUGCACGAUUCAGUCCCAUUAAUUACAUUUAUGAUAUUGCGCAAACACCACCACUAUUUCCAAAAGUUUCCAUCACCCGAAACAGAAACUCCAUACCCAUUAUUAAGCAAUAACUCCUCAUCUCCCCUCCCCCUCCCCCGCCCUUGGUAACCUCUAAUCUACUUUCUGUCUCAAUGUGUUUGCAUAUUGUAGAUCAUUCAUAGAAGUGGAGUCAUACGAUGUGUGACUUUUUGUAUCUGACUUAGCAUCGUGUUUUCAAGGUUCAGCCAGGCUGUAGCAUAUAUCAGAACUUCAUUCCUUUUUAAGGCUGAAU